CGAUCUAAUCACUGAAUUCGAAAGUUUUAGAUUGAAAACAUUUGGGAUUACACUAAACUUCAAGUAAGUUUUGAAGCUUUUUAUUCUAUUGAAGACAUUUGAGAGCACACGGAACUUUCCAAAUUUGGUAAUUGAAAUCCCUGAACAUUUCGAUAAUGUUAUUAAGUAGCCCAAAAGCCGCAAAGUCGAGAUGCAAAACAGUCAAGUUUCCAUACUGGUAUCGAAACAAUAGGGACUAUUUCUCACGGUGCACGAUUUGAAUAGAAGUGCCAAUCACAUGUCAAUGAUCGCAAUUGAUUUAAUUAUCUGAACAUCCCAAAAAAUUAACAUGCGGAUCAAUGGCUGGAUGGAUUUUAUUUAAAUGGCACUUUGAUUAGUUCUAUUGAUGGUUUAGAGUCAAUUUUGCUAUGGAUAUAAUUGGAUAUAAUGGAAUAGCCGGGGUGAAUCAAUUUCAGAUAAGGAGUAUGCAAGGGCUUUCUUUCGUCAUUAACAUUUGCACUAAAUUUGCAUAUUU